rnacentral:lncRNA from 1 species
AGUUCUCAAACCGCUAAAAAAUUAUUUUUUUCAUCAUUCCCAGUUCUUCGAACUCUAAAAAGGGGGGUCUUACUCUUUUUAUCAUUACAAAGCGAUAGGCCCCAUUCCAUUGAAAGCAAUAAAUACCUCUUCCAUUCCUUUAGGCUUAGAAAAUCAUUUACUAUCACCAAGUUCAGUCAUAAGUAAGGAAAUAGGAGUUCAAGGUCUGUUUGCCAUGCGUGUUGAACCCUUCAAAUGGGAAAUAUCCCCACCACAUUAUUUACCAGGAGGCAAAUGACUCUUUAGAGAAUAUUGAUAAUGAUGAUAUGGUAAUUCCACCUGUUCUUAAUCUAUCAGGUGACAAUAAUGGUAGCAAGGAAAGCACUAAAAGAAAAAGAAUGCCAAAGAAAACUGGAAUAGCUUUACUUAAACCGGAUAAUAAAAAGUUGUGGAUUUUGAAGAGUCAGAUACAGAUACUGAGAGCUUGUUCAAUGAUAGUGAGGAUGGUGAAUUUUAUCGUAUGUUUGAAAGCCUAAGUGACUAUUAGGAUGAGUCACUUGAUUCUGAUAUUGAGAAAUAUGCUACUGCUUUAAAGAAGAGAGUGAGAUGAAAAAAGGUUGCCUUACUAAAGAAAGAAAAGGGGUUGUUAGUAAAAAAACCAAUGUUCACUGUCACUGGUAAGACAAAAAAAUCAGAAAAAGGUUGUUGACAAUGGACCAGGUCCCAGUUCUAAAUCAGCCAGAACCUCAGAAGCACUUGGGACUUUUGGAAGGGGAACUGGUUCAUUAAAGAAGGGUACUUCAUCCAAUGAAAAGGGUUUGUCUCGAGAAGCAAGACAUUAGGUCCUUAAGACUCAGGAGGUCUUAAGAGGGAGAGUUUUCAAUCCAACCAUGGUUGACAUAUCGGGAAUUAGAGAGUUAAUUGACUGGGUGAAGUUUUAAAACUAGGGGAACUUAUUUAAAUUACCUGUG